GAGGAGGCAAGCGUUAUCCGGAAUUAUUGGGCGUAAAGCGUCCGCAGGGGCGCAUCAAGUCUGCUGUUAAAGGUCGGAGCUAAACUCCGGUAGAGCAGUGGAAACUGGUGCGCUAGAGGGCGACAGGGGUAGAGGGAAUUCCCAGUGUAGCGGUGAAAUGCGUAGAGAUUGGGAAGAACACCGGUGGCGAAAGCGCUCUACUGGGUCGCACCUGACCCUCAGGGACGAAAGCUAAGGUAGCGAAAGGGAUUAGAUACCCCUGUAGUCUUAGCCGUAAACGAUGGAUACUAGGCGUGGUUUGUAUCGACCCAAGCCGUGCCGARCUAACGCGUUAAGUAUCCCGCCUGGGGAGUACGCACGCAAGUGUGAAACUCAAAGGAAUUGACGGGGGCCCGCACAAGCGGUGGAGGAUGUGGUUUAAUUCGAUGCAACGCGAAGAACCUUACCAGGGCUUGACAUCCCGCGAAGUUUGGGGAAACUCAGACGUGCCUACGGGAACGCGGAGACAGGUGGUGCAUGGCUGUCGUCAGCUCGUGUCGUGAGAUGUUGGGUUAAGUCCCGCAACGAGCGCAACCCUCGUCCUUAGUUGCCAGCAUUAAGUUGGGCACUCUAGGGAGACUGCCGGUGACAAACCGGAGGAAGGUGAGGAUGACGUCAAGUCAGCAUGCCCCUUAUGCUCUGGGCAACACACGUCCUACAAUGGUCGGGACAAAGGGGAGCGAGCUCGCGAGAGUAAGCGAAUCCCAGCAAACUCGGCCUCAGUUCAGAUAGCAGGCUGCAACUCGCCUGCUUGAAGGAGGAAUCGCUAGUAAUCGCAGGUCAGCAUACUGCGGUGAAUUCGUCCCCGGCCU
rnacentral:rRNA from 1 species